rnacentral:rRNA from 1 species
AACGAACGCUGGCGGCGCGCUUAACACAUGCAAGUCGAACGAGAAGGCGUAGCAAUACGCUUGUACAGUGGCGAACGGGUGAGUAAUACGUGGGCGACCUACCCUCGAGUGGGGAAUAACCCGCCGAAAGGCGGGCUAAUGCCGCGUACGCUUCCAUCUUUAUGGAGGUGGAAGGAAAGCCGUGCCGUGGGCACGGCGCUCAAGGAUGGGCUCACGUCCUAUCAGCUUGUUGGAGGGUAACGGCCUACCAAGGCUCCGACGGGUAGCUGGUCUGAGAGGACGAUCAGCCACACUGGCACUGCGACACGGGCCAGACUCCUACGGGAGGCAGCAGUGAGGAAUAUUGCGCAAUGGGGCGAAAGCCUGACGCAGCGACGCCGCGUGGGGGGA